rnacentral:rRNA from 2 species
GUAAGGUUAAGUUAUGAAGGGCGCAUGGUGAAUGCCUUGGUACUAGGAGCCGAUGAAGGACGGGACUAACACCGAUAUGCUUCGGGGAGCGGUAAGUACGCUUUGAUCCGGAGAUUUCCGAAUGGGGAAACCCAAUCAUCUUAGUCGAUGAUUACUUGAGCAGUGAAUUCAUAGCUGCCAAGAGGUAGACGCAGUGAACUGAAACAUCUUAGUAGCUGCAGGAAGAGAAAGAAAAUUCGAUUCCCUGAGUAGCGGCGAGCGAAACGGGAAGAGCCCAAACCACUGAGCUUGCUCAGUGGGGUUGUAGGACUGAACUUUGGAGUUACCAAAGAAUCAGGUAGUCGAAGUGGCUGGGAAGCCACACCAGAGAUGGUGAUAGUCCAGUAGACGAAACCUGGUUCUCUCCGUUCAGGAUCCUGAGUACGGCGGGACACGUGAAACCCCGUCGGAAUCCGCGAGGACCAUCUCGCAAGGCUAAAUACUCCCUAGUGACCGAUAGUGAACCAGUACCGUGAGGGAAAGGUGAAAAGCACCCCGGGAGGGGAGUGAAAUAGUUCCUGAAACCAUGUGCCUACAAGCUGUCGGAGCCCGUUAAUGGGUGACGGCGUGCCUCUUGCAGAAUGAACCGGCGAGUCAUGAUUACGUGCAAGGUUAAGGUGGAAAAACCGGAGCCGCAGCGAAAGCGAGUCUGAAAUGGGCGUAUGAAGUACGUAGUUAUGUACCCGAAACCAGGUGACCUACCCAUGUCCAGGGUGAAGGUGCGGUAAAACGCACUGGAGGCCCGAACCCGUGUCUGUUGAAAAAGGCUGGGAUGAGGUGUGGGUAGCGGUGAAAUUCCAAACGAACUUGGAGAUAGCUGGUUCUCUCCGAAAUCUCUUUAGGGGGAGCCUCGGAAUCGAGAAUCUUGGAGGUAGAGCACUGUUUGGACGAGGGGCCCGUCAUGGGUUACCGACUUCAGAUAAACUCCGAAUGCCAAUGAUUUAUGUCCGGGAGUCAGACGAUGAGUGAUAAGAUCCACCGUCGAAAGGGGAACAGCCCAGAUCACCAGUUAAGGUCCCUAAAUAUAUGCUAAGUGGAAAAGGAUGUGGAGUUGCAUAGACAACUAGGAUGUUGGCUCAGAAGCAGCCAUCAUUUAAAGAGUGCGUAAUAGCUCACUAGUCGAGUGAUUCUGCGCCGAAAAUGUACCGGGGCUAAGCAUAUUACCGAAACUGUGGAUGUGUCCUUUUGGACACGUGAUAGGAGAGCGUUCUAAGGGCGACGAAGUUAGACCGUGAGGACUAGUGGAGCGCUUAGAAGUGAGAAUGCCGGUAUGAGUAGCGAAAGACAGGUGAGAAUCCUGUCCACCGAAUGACUAAGGUUUCCUGGGGAAGGCUCGUCCUCCCAGGGUAAGUCGGGACCUAAGGCGAGGCCGAGAGGCGUAGUCGAUGGAUAACAGGUUGAGAUUCCUGUACCAGUUAAAUGCGUUUGAAUGAUGGAGGGACGCAGGAGGCUAAGCAAACCAGACGAUUGGAAGUGUCUGGCCAAGCAGUAAGUCAGGUUUAGAGU